GCUACCAGGCUUACUAUCUAGUGAUGUUACCCGUGAACCUCCUGCUUCGAGGCAUGUAUCGAAGAAAUGAACCAAUUUGGAAUGAAGCUUUGUAUCGGAGCUUGAUUCGUUUUGUGAUAAUCACGUGACCAGUGACGUCCGAAGCUUCGUUUCACACCCCCCCACGUGACUGCUUCGAAGUUGAAUUCAAAGCGGUUCACUGGGUGCGUCUUUGUGGGUUGUUGCAGUAGAAGAGUCAACAGUUAGGAAAGUUAGUUAAUAGGGAGAUUAUUA